GCCGCUCUGCCCACGUCAGAUCCACAAAAGUGUGAGGAAUCAGCUAGAAUAAAUAUUUUCUCAGCUGGAACGGGACUCAAGUCCACAUCCUAAAUUCCCAAGAUACCGUAACAGGCUCUAAGCCGAUUUAGUAGAUCCAAACCCAACUCAAAUAGACCCCAAAAGAUAAGUUGACUAGAUCCAGCCUAGGUGAUCCUACAUUGAAUCCAAUCAGACUCCACUCGA
rnacentral:lncRNA from 1 species